UACGUAGGGUGCGAGCGUUGUCCGGAAUUAUUGGGCGUAAAGGGUGCGCAGGCGGUUUGUUAAGACGGAUGUGAAAUGCCCGGGCUUAACCUGGGGACGGCAUACGUGACUGGCAGGCUAGAGUAUGGCAGAGGGAGGUGGAAUUCCACGUGUAGCAGUGAAAUGCGUAGAGAUGUGGAGGAACACCGAUGGCGAAGGCAGCCUCCUGGGCCGUAACUGACGCUGAGACGCGAAAGCGUGGGGAGCAAACAGG
rnacentral:rRNA from 1 species